CCUUCUUGAUACCACUAAGGAUUUCUUCAGCACAGUGUUCUAGCGUCACAGAAUUCACUACAUUAUCAGCCUCUUCCUCUGAAGACUGUUGUGUAAUGCUGGCAGUUGCCGCUUCUACUUCAUCUAUUGAAUUCAUUUCACUGAAAAUAUUUUCAACUUCAAGAGUGUUCUUGCUCAUUUGCUUUAUGGAAGGAUUAGCGUUAAAAUUGUUAAUGGAUUGUCUAGGUCUAGGAUCUCCUGAGCGAUUCGCAAUGGCCCAUAAGUGACCAGCUCCAUGCGGUGCCUUUGAUCCCUUCCUGAAGUGGGGAUUUAUGGAGAGAUUGUGCCGCACAGAAUUUUUCCAACGGUCAUCGUUGCUUUUGUAAUAGGGAAAGUGUUCUCUAGAUAUAAUAAGAAAAAUAAUUUAUUAAUUUUCCAAAUAUAGUAAACAAAAAUAAGUAAGUUAGGCGGGAGUUGAUAAAUUUUAGAAAAAUUGUUUUACAAUAUAGAAUUUACUAUAUAGAAAAAUUCUAAUUUUGUCACUUAUUCAAUGAGCAAUAAAUAAUCAUGUGAAUGUCUACAUUUGCAUAA